rnacentral:misc_RNA from 1 species
GAUGAAGAACGUAGCGAAAUGCGAUAAGUGAUGUGAAUUGCAGAAUUCAGUGAAUCAUCGAAUCUUUGAACGCACCUUGCGCUCUUUGGUAUUCCGAAGAGCAUGCCUGUUUGACUGUCAUGAAAAUAUCAACCUUGACUUGGGUUUUGUGCUCUAGUCUCGGCUUGGAAUUGGGUGCUUGCCGCUUUUACGAGCGGCUCACCUUAAAUGUAUUAGCUGGAUCUGUCUUUGAGACUUGGUUUGACUUGGCGUAAUAAGUAUUUCGCUAAGGACAUUCUUCGGAGUGGCCUCGUUUCUAGGACGCUUGUCCGCUUUCCAAUACAAGUUCCACCUCGUGGACAUGACUUUUUAUUAUCUGGCCUCAAAUCAGGUAGGACUACCCGCUGAACUUAAGCAUAUCAAUAAGCGGAGGA